GGGUCAUAGCUCAGUGGUUAAAGCAUCGACCUCACAAGCAGAAGGUCCCAGGUUCAGUCCUGGGCAUCUCCA